rnacentral:rRNA from 1 species
AUUGAACGCUGGCGGCAUGCUUUACACAUGCAAGUCGAACGGUAACAGGCCGCAAGGUGCUGACGAGUGGCGAACGGGUGAGUAAUGUAUCGGAACGUGCCCAGUCGUGGGGGAUAACUACUCGAAAGAGUAGCUAAUACCGCAUACGAUCUAUGGAUGAAAGCGGGGGACCGUAAGGCCUCGCGCGAUUGGAGCGGCCGAUGUCAGAUUAGGUAGUUGGUGGGGUAAAGGCUCACCAAGCCAACGAUCUGUAGCUGGUCUGAGAGGACAACCAGCCACACUGGGACUGAGACACGGCCCAGACUCCUACGGGAGGCAGCAGUGGGGAAUUUUGGACAAUGGGCGCAAGCCUGAUCCAGCAAUGCCGCGUGCAGGAAGAAGGCCUUCGGGUUGUAAACUGCUUUUGUACGGAACGAAACGGCUCUGGUUAAUACCCGGGGCUAAUGACGGUACCGUAAGAAUAAGCACCGGCUAACUACGUG